GUCACGUUCAGGACCAGCAGUCAAUGGGUCAUCCAUGGCCACAACGGUCCCGAAUGGCAACGCAUUUUUUACCUUGCCAUUGGGCUCAGCUACAAAUACCAUGCUAGGUUUUGGUCCUGACACGAUGUCGUGAAAGUAAAAGUGAAGGUGAGUGAAUUUCUCUUCUUGAAAACCCAACAUUGUUGGGGAUAGGUUUUGAUAGUAAUUAGUGGCAGUGGCAAGGGAUAUUAUAGAGAGGAAAGUAAGGUUCAAAGAAAUUAGAAGAGUUAUGGAGAAUGUUGAGGAUUUUGCCAUGGUUGAUGCGAAUGAACAAAGAAUGUAGUUUUUGUUGUUGAGGAUAAUGAACUAAGAAUGCUUAUUGCUUAUUUCAAUUCGUUGUAUACAUGCCUAUUUAUAAUAGGUGUGGCUGCUUUGUUCAUUUGUAUAUAUUGAUUUGUCUAAAGCUGAAGUUUGUUGACCAAAAACUUUUAGAUAUAUGUCAAAAUAUGGUGGAAAAAUGAUAGACGCCAGAAACAUGUAAAGCGUUGUCAACGAAACAUCCGAGAAAUAUAGUGGAGAAAAAAAUAUAACUCAAUCGUAUUCACUCAGACUAAUGACUUUUUUUUUUUUUUUUAUGGGAAACCAUCAUUUUUGACAUUUUGGCUUCCUAACAUUAGUGGUUGUUAACAUUAUACAUAGAGUUUAAACAAUCUUGCAUAACAAUGUCAUGUCUUCCUUUCAAUAAAAAAUAAAACAAUGUCAUGUCUUCUAAGUCAUGUUUUUUACUUCAUGAAUAUUGUAUUUAAGAGGAUUGAUUUUGCAAUCUAAAAAGGUCUAACGACACAACUUGUUAUUUGUCUGUCUUCUAUUCAUGUUAAUUAAAAACGAGUCUUUUAUUAUGCGGCAACUUGCAUGAGUGGUUGCGACAUCCUUUACUGUGUAUGGACAUCUCUGUAAUUUUUUUUUUUUUUUUUUGCGGCAGCUUGCAUUUGUUUUUGGUUUUGGUGACACCGUAAAAACUCUAGUUGGCCUCCUUUAGCACAUCUUGGAGAGUCACUUUCUAUGUGUUAAUAUAAUCUUAUUUUGACAUGUUAAAAAAAAAAAAAAAAAAGUCAACUAAAUCAAGCCUUCCUAUUAAAGAAAAAAGUGAACCAAAUACCACGCAUUUUUUAUGAGCCAACCGUAAAUAAAUUUUCUAAUUAGUGUUGCAUCAUUUGCACCUCUAGAAGAUAUGAGGUGGCUCAUAUUUUCGUCAUGGUGUGAAAAAGAUGUUUAAAAGGCGUAUAAAGAAUUUUUUUUCCGUCAUUCAAAUUCAAAUGCUGGAAAUUUUAUAAACGGGAGAGGAAUGUUAUUUUAUUCAACAGAGAAGAGAACUUAGCUAGCUUCCAGUGUUAUGGGGUGUGUAGGACUUGACCGAAAAUUUAAUAUUAGUGCCAAGCCUUUGGUUGGAGGCUGCUAUAUAGAUAUGAUUGUGGCCGGUACAUUGGACACGUACAAAACUCAAAGAAUAGAAAUCAAAUUUGAGUAUUAGAUAGACUAUUACUCCAUUAGAAUAGAAGAGUGGGGUAUUAGUGUAUUACAUUAAUAGAUUAUUAUAGUUAAAUAUAAUUUUAGUCUCCAAGACCAAGGCUUAAGAUUUUUAUGUCCCAAACAAAUAUCUUUUUAAUAAUUUUAAAUGUUUUUCUAUUUGUAUCUUUUGUUGUAAAAGAUUUAUUUAGUGUUAAGCUCAUGAGUACAUAACUUUUUAUGGUUUAAUGCUGGUAAGUGUAUUUGUUUGCAUUCAUUUUCUGCAAAUUCAAUACGGAAACUUUUAGUUAUGACGUUAAGGGUUGAGUCAUGAUGUAAUUUUAUUGAGUACGUCAAGGAUUGAAAACAACAAUUUUAAAUUUGUUUUUACAAAAAUAAUAAUAAUAACUGCAGAGAUUGAAUUGAAACAAAAAAUAUUAUAAGAAAUGAAGCCAAAAAAUUUCUAUAAUUGACAGAACUAAAAUCAAAUUUAAAUCCAUUAAGAUUGUUAUAACAUCUAAUCGAGUUGCAUAGAAAAGACCAACAAACUAUUAGUGUGUCGAAUAUGAACCACCCAAAAUGAUCCAAAGGUAAACAUUUUCCAUUAGUAAACAUAAAUCAUAAUAUAUAACAAAAUAUAGAAAAUAAUAUCUUGUUAAAAAUUACUAUAAACUAGGUCCUUACAAACUAUUAAAACAAUUAGGUUUUUUUUUUUUUUUACAGAAUAUUAAGACAUUUAGUUAUAUUUAUUUACAAUUGUAUCAUUAAAAAAUGUUGAACCUAUCUUAUCUAUCAUAUUAUUUAUCAUUUUUUACUACUCAUUUAUUAUUUAUUGUUAGUUAUAAAAGAUAUGUAAAAAAAAUUGUAGGCAUUUAAAAAAUUAUAAUUAAUAGAAUUGAAAAUUUGAAAUGAGUCAAACAAAAAGGACAACAAAUUUUUUAUUUAGCUAUCUUUUACAAAUAUUUUUCUUAAUAGUCCUCUUAAACUUGAAGAUGAACAACAUAACAAUUGAUCAUGCCGGAUCUGGAGAUCUCUAGUUGGUGAUGGUGAAUGCCUUUGAAGGUUGGAUCUUCGUCACUAGCAACCUUCUUCUUCAGAGGAGAGUUUGCAGUUUUCGUACAUACUUCCACAAUGAAGUCAAUAACUGGACAAUGAGCAUACUUGGACCAAUGUCAUGAGUUAAUGGAUUUAGGAUUUUAGGGUGAUAGAAGAGGUUUAGGGUUUUGCCCUUGAAUUGUUAACUGGACAAUUGUCCUCGAGGGACACAUAUAAACAUAUUAAAAGGCCAUCAUUUUAUUUGUCCUAAACGGUCUAUAUCUUUCCAUGGGGUCUUAAUCCAGUGAUAUUUAGGGUGAUUCCAUGCUAUGGUCCUUACAUAUAAGCUUUGAAGGGUACCUGGAUUCAGGCAUGGAUUGAACAUUGACCCAAUAUGGAACAACAACACAAGACAUCAUGAGUUUUUUUAAUAAUCGGAGAUCAUGAAAUAUAAGGAAACAUGAGAAGGGGAAACAAAACUGUAUUGGAUGCUCAACCCAGUUUUAACGGAAUUCAUGGGGAGGUUGAGGGUACCUCCGUACAUGGGAAUUGGUCAAAAUAUUUCUCCUUCGUUUUUUUUCUUCGUUGAAUUAAAACUAAAAAUAAAUAUAUUGAAUUUAUAAACGAAUGUGGUAUUACAUGUUUAUUUCACCUAUUUGACUUUCACUUUAGGCGAGAGUGUGUAACAGAAGCAUAAUAACAAUUUACUGAAUAACAAAUCAAAAUAUAAACUCUACUUUUAUGAAGCACCUAUAAGGCUAGACCUAACUAAUAAUGGAACAUAAAUAUGUCAUACUCCACAAUGGCAUCUCCUUUAGUGUAAUCAACGGAAUAAAAUUUAGCUUGAGCAUAACCACGUACAAAACGAAAAGCCCCAGUUCCACCAACAAUGGCCAUUUCUCUAACAGGUUCACUCAUGAUCAUAUUUCUACCCAAUAUGCUAAGUGUGCUUCCAUUGAAAUGUCCAUCAGUGAAUGUCAUGGUCAUCACCAUCAUUAGUCCCAUCUCCUCUUGUGAUAUAGAGGUGUAAAUUCCUUGAGCCUUACCCACAAGUUUUGAUUCACGUUCGGGUCCAGCCGUCAAGGGGUCAUCCAUCGCCACAACUGUCCCGAAUGGCAAGGCAUUUUUUACCUUGCCAUUGGGCUCAGCUACAAAUACCAUGCUAGGUUUUGGUCCUGACACGAUGUCGUGAAAGUAAAAAUGAAGGUGAGUGAAUUUCUCUUCUUGAAAACCCAGCAUUGUUGGGGAUAGGCUUUUAUAGUAAUUAGUGGCAGUGGCAAGGGAUAUUAUGGAGACGAAAGUAAGGUUCAAAGAAAU
rnacentral:lncRNA from 1 species